rnacentral:lncRNA from 1 species
AUACUACUACUCUCAGCAGCAUGGGGAAAGGUUGAGUUCUUGGCGUGGAAAGGGGUGCAUUGGCAAAGGACUCUUGCAAGCCAGACUUGCUUUAGCUUCCGGGAGAAGAGGACCACUGAAUUGCAUCAACAACAGGUGCUUCCCAAGGCAUUCCUGCCUUUGCCUCUGCAACACUGCCUGAACAUCCACAAGGCAGCAACAAGCAGCAUCGUGCCCUUGUUAGGCUGGUUUCUUGCCAGCUGCCUGCUUUUCUGGAGGUGGGAACACAGCCAGUGCACAAAGCAAGAGCUGCAUUGUGGAAGCGUGUGCGUCAAAGAAGCUGUUAGUGCUCCUGAUUUUUCAAGGGAAGAGUUUGUAGAAAGCAAUUGGCAGGUCGGUGUAGUCUGCCCCGUGUGUGUGCGUGUCUGUCACACAGCUUCCUGCUCUGGUAAGGCUUUUCUGUCUCUGGAGUUUCAAGCAACUUUGCUGAGGAAAAGCCACAGGCAGCACGAAAAUGCUCACAAGAGCUCUUCCUGUGAGAGGCCAGCUUCCAAGAAUCAGUUCUCUUCGAUUUAUUUAGCCUUUUGAUCUAAAACUAAGCUCCAUUUUGUUAGCAAUAAGAAACAGUUAAUAAUCUCCCUCCAUGACUCCUGCUGGAGCCUGAGCUGCUGUGGUCACAAAUUGCUGCUCAAACUCUGCUGUGCCUUCCUCUAUGCUUCCCCCUCUUCUCCCUUUCUGGAGGGAAGGAAGGGUUAAGCUCAUGUCCUCAUCGAGGAGCAAUAGCUCUUCCCAAAAGACAAGUCACAGGCAAACUAUCCAGUUGUAUAUGUCUCACUGAAGAAUUGGUACAUGAGUGAGACAUGACUUCAUCCUUUAACCUGCAUGCUUCACUGGUCUAGGGAACCCUGGUGGGUUUGGCCCAUUCUAGUCACAGUUGUCAUGGGAGAUCCUAAUGACUUAGUAAGGUAGCUUAAAAAAUCUCCAUGCAGAAUCCAGCAUAUGGUAUAUUUAUUGGCAAUGCUAAUCCCCCUAGGAACAAGUUCUGUAGUAACAAAUGGUGAAUUAUGUGGCUUCAUAAGCACUCAUGUCAUCAAAUGCACCACUGACCUUUUACAUUUUCAGGGGAAUUUUCUGCUCUGCAGUUUCUCUGGUUUGGAAGUGAAGCAGUUUAACAAUUUAUCCUGGAGGAAACAGGUAAUCAAUAAUUUCAGUUUUGGUUACUGGAAAAGGUAAAUGAGACCAUAUAUUUGUUGGGCAAGUAAGCAAUCCAGGGUUUAGUGAAGCUUAAGCAGGAGCUAAAAUAGAACAUGAAUGUUCAUAGUGCAGGAGCACAAAAUAGAAUCCCUUGUCAUGAGAAAAAAAGAAAGAGUAAGUCAAACAGAUCUCACAGUGCCAGACAGAGAAAUAUUUAUUUAAAGCAUGUUUUUGGCAUGAAGCGGAACUGGGAAAGUAUCUGGAUCCAGCAAAUAAAUCUGUUGCAAAUCUCUGCAGAAGAUGCUUAUACAGGAGCCUGCAGUUAGCAAGCACGAGGAUGGAUCCCAUUCAGAUUAAUUCAACAAGUGACCAGAGUCACUUGUCUGGAUCCCAUGAUAAAAUUUUGAUCUUAGUCUUCUUACAACAUGGAAACUCUAGGAUUGUACAGGAAAAAAGAAAAUGCCUUCCUGCCGUGACCAGACUAAGGAAUAAAGCAAGGAUCAGGACGUGACUGUGCCAACCUGCCAAGACCAAGACCCAACCCUACCUGACUCCAAGAUGGGUAUUAAGCCAACAGCUCAGUGAAGCAUCAGUGAAGCAUCCAGGCUAGCACCAAUCUGCCAUGCUGUUUCCAGCAGAUAGCUCUCUCAACAUGGGUUUUUGAGAUCUGUGAGCAAGGACGAGCUCCCAGGAUGCACAUGUAGCAUGGCAGACCUGCAUGCCCAGUGCAGUCUGUGUUGGCUGCGAUGCAAGCAGAGCUGAGACAAUGGAUGCUUUCAUUUUCUCAUUGGCCCUAGUGUAUGUGACACUCAGUGCUACACCCUGCACUGAGCUGCCUGACAACUUUGAGGUGUUCAGCCCUUGCCUCAAUCGCUAGUGCGUUCCGCUGUGCCCUGAGGUGUUUCUGAAGGCUGGGUGGUAGAGCUGUUCUCUAGUCAGGUGACUUACCUGGGAGAAACCUAACCUGUGUUCCAUGCAUUGCAUCUGCUUCCAAGCGAAACCAAGGCGCUGACAGCUGCCAGGCAGCACAGCUAUUUUCAGCACAGGUCUCUCCCUGCACACCGUGUGACAAGUGAGCUGGACUAACACAGCACAGGGCUGCAAUGCAUGCUGCCCAGAGGUGGGUGGACAGACAACUGCUGGCAAUACCUCCUUCCUGGUGGCUGAAGCUGUGGUAAGCAUGCAAGUAAACAGCGAGAAGGCUAUUGUAAUUGUAACUUACUCAAGAGGUAGAAGAUAUCAGCAGAACACUGUGAAAAACUCUUGCCUUGCUGCUUGCCUUUCUGAUCCUUGUGUCCUGAGAUAUCUACAUGCCUUGACAGUGUCACAGAAAGUGUUCUUGAGGUCUCACUCACCCUUAUGAGGCAAACCACACCAUAUCAGCACAGGAACAUUGGAAAACAGAGUAAUUUAAGCAGACUGAAUUGCCUGGGGCUGCCAAGGGAAUUUUUGGUCCCUGAGAACAUUUGUACGCCUCGGGCCUGGGCUGUCUUCUCCAUCCCAUCGUGACUAAUGGUCCUAAAUUGAUUGGAACAGCCAAGCCCGGCUGCCAAGCAGAAUAUUUUUACAGUCCUAGUUCUAUUUGUGCACUGACAAAUACAAAACAGUUAGAAGUGUUAGAAGAGAAAGUGCAAAGCAAAACUGCAGGAAAAGAAGCAAACCUGCAGAGAGGACUGUGAAAGUGUGCUUGCUGUUGGGUGGCACGACUUGCAGACACCCACACUUUGUGUGGGCAGCGCUGCUUCCAGACAUGAGCCCACAGCAGCUUCUGAAGCAGCAUUCAGCACACAUUCCGAGAGCUGGAUUUAUUUUGGAAUAUCCACUGGCCCCUGCUGGGGAUAGAUACAUUUGCUUUUCUGCUGUCUGUUCUUUUCAGGGACCCACCACAGUAACCACAAGGGUGACAGGUGCCCCUUCUCACAUAAGCCACUCCGAAGGGAGGGCAGACCGAGCUUUCCUUCGACGUCCUUCCCGCAGGGACGGGGCUGGCCUUCAGUAAUUUCCCCAAAGCCGCAGCAGCCCCGGCCCCGGCGAGGAGCCCCGCUGUCCCGCGGCCUCUCAGUUCCCGGAGGAAGCAGCAGAGGGCGCUCGUGCCUCGCGGAGCGCGACCAGAAGGGACUUUGCGGGACUGCUCACGGCUACAGCUUCACGCGGAGGCCUCAGGAAGCUGCAAGAAGUGUCAG